GGGCGUAAAGAGCUCGUAGGUGGUUUGUCGCGUUGUCCGUGAAAUUCCCUGGCUUAACUGGGGGCGUGCGGGCGAUACGGGCAGACUGGAGUACUGCAGGGGAGACUGGAAUUCCUGGUGUAGCGGUGGAAUGCGCAGAUAUCAGGAGGAACACCGGUGGCGAAGGCGGGUCUCUGGGCAGUAACUGACGCUGAGGAGCGAAAGCGUGGGGAGCGAACAGGAUUAGAUACCCUGGUAGUCCACGCCGUAAACGGUGGGUACUAGGUGUGGGUUUCCUUCCUUGGGAUCCGUGCCGUAGCUAACGCAUUAAGUACCCCGCCUGGGGAGUACGGCCGCAAGGCUAAAACUCAAAGGAAUUGACGGGGGCCCGCACAAGCGGCGGAGCAUGUGGAUUAAUUCGAUGCAACGCGAAGAACCUUACCUGGGUUUGACAUGUACAGGACGCGUCUAGAGAUAGGCGUUCCCUUGUGGCCUGUGUGCAGGUGGUGCAUGGCUGUCGUCAGCCUCGUGUCGCUGAGAUGUUGGGUUAAGUCCCGCUACGAGCGCAACCCUUGUCUCAUGUUGCCAGCGGGUAAUGCCGGGGAUCUCGUGAGAGACUGCCGGGGUCAACUCGGAGGAAGGUGGGGAUGACGUCAAGUCAUCAUGCCCCUUAUGUCCAGGGCUUCACACAUGCUACAAUGGCCGGUACAAAGGGCUGCGAUGCUGUAAGGUUAAGCGAAUCCUUUUAAAGCCGGUCUCAGUUCGGAUUGGGGUCUGCAACUCGACCCCAUGAAGUCGGAGUCGCUAGUAAUCG
rnacentral:rRNA from 1 species